UACGUAGGGGACGAGCGUUGUCCGGAAUUACUGGGCGUAAAGGGCGCGCAGGCGGUAUAUCAAGUCAGCUGUCAAAGACUGGGGCUCAACCCUGGUAUGCGGUUGAAACUGAUAUGCUGGAGUGCUGUAGAGGCAAGUGGAAUUCCCAGUGCAGCGGUGAAAUGCGUAGAUAUUGGGAAGAACACCGGUGGCGAAGGCGACUUGCUGGGCAGCAACUGACGCUGAGGCGCGAAAGCCAGGGGAGCAAACGGGAUUA
rnacentral:rRNA from 1 species